CCUACAUAAUUAAGGCAAAUGCCUUCAGAAUUAACUUAGACCCUACAUAAUUAAGGCAUAUGCCUUCAGAAUAAAGUUUAAAUCCAUGGAAUUAAGGCAUAUAACUUCAGAAUUAACUUAGAUACUAUAUAAUUCAGGCAUAUGCCUUCAGAAUUAACUCAGAUCCUAUGGAAUUAAACGCAUAUGCCUUCACAAUUAACUUAGAUCCUAUGGAAUUAAAGGCAUAUACCUUCAGAAUUAACUUAGAUCCUACAUAAUUAAGGCAUAUACCUUCAGAAUUAACU